rnacentral:misc_RNA from 2 species
GUAUUCAUUCCCCGCUCUUUGUUAAUUUAUUAACUAGUCUGGGGAGAUUUGAGUCGUCCCACUUACACUGGGUGACUUUAAAACUAUAGCUGCCAGAUGCUUCUUAGCAGUGGAAAAGUAUGUGUAUGGAACCUCGGUUUCUCUAAUGCUUAGUACCGGCUGAAGCGCUUAGUCUGGCACUCACCUAUUAAAGUUUAGUCUUUGGACUGAGCUUGAA